AUGAACGCUAGCGACAGGCUUAACACAUGCAAGUCGAGGGGCAGCACAGGUAGCAAUACCGGGUGGCGACCGGCGCACGGGUGAGUAACGCGUAUGCAACUUGCCUAUCAGAGGGGGAUAACCCGGCGAAAGUCGGACUAAUACCGCAUGAAGCAGGGAUCCCGCAUGGGAAUAUUUGCUAAAGAUUCAUCGCUGAUAGAUAGGCAUGCGUUCCAUUAGGCAGUUGGCGGGGUAACGGCCCACCAAACCGACGAUGGAUAGGGGUUCUGAGAGGAAGGUCCCCCACAUUGGUACUGAGACACGGACCAAACUCCUACGGGAGGCAGCAGUGAGGAAUAUUGGUCAAUGGCCGAGAGGCUGAACCAGCCAAGUCGCGUGAGGGAUGAAGGUUCUAUGGAUCGUAAACCUCUUUUAUAAGGGAAUAAAGUGCGGGACGUGUCCCGUUUUGUAUGUACCUUAUGAAUAAGGAUCGGCUAACUCCGUGCCAGCAGCCGCGGUAAUACGGAGGAUCCGAGCGUUAUCCGGAUUUAUUGGGUUUAAAGGGUGCGUAGGCGGCCUUUUAAGUCAGCGGUGAAAGUCUGUGGCUCAACCAUAGAAUUGCCGUUGAAACUGGGGGGCUUGAGUAUGUUUGAGGCAGGCGGAAUGCGUGGUGUAGCGGUGAAAUGCAUAGAUAUCACGCAGAACCCCGAUUGCGAAGGCAGCCUGCCAAGCCAUUACUGACGCUGAUGCACGAAAGCGUGGGGAUCAAACAGGAUUAGAUACCCUGGUAGUCCACGCAGUAAACGAUGAUCACUAGCUGUUUGCGAUACACUGUAAGCGGCACAGCGAAAGCGUUAAGUGAUCCACCUGGGGAGUACGCCGGCAACGGUGAAACUCAAAGGAAUUGACGGGGGCCCGCACAAGCGGAGGAACAUGUGGUUUAAUUCGAUGAUACGCGAGGAACCUUACCCGGGUUUGAACGCAUUCGGACCGAGGUGGAAACACCUUUUCUAGCAAUAGCCGUUUGCGAGGUGCUGCAUGGUUGUCGUCAGCUCGUGCCGUGAGGUGUCGGCUUAAGUGCCAUAACGAGCGCAACCCUUGCCACUAGUUACUAACAGGUAAAGCUGAGGACUCUGGUGGGACUGCCAGCGUAAGCUGCGAGGAAGGCGGGGAUGACGUCAAAUCAGCACGGCCCUUACAUCCGGGGCGACACACGUGUUACAAUGGCGUGGACAAAGGGAAGCCACCUGGCGACAGGGAGCGAAUCCCCAAACCACGUCUCAGUUCGGAUCGGAGUCUGCAACCCGACUCCGUGAAGCUGGAUUCGCUAGUAAUCGCGCAUCAGCCAUGGCGCGGUGAAUACGUUCCCGGGCCUUGUACACACCGCCCGUCAAGCCAUGGAAGCCGGGAGUACCUGAAGCAUGCAACCGCAAGGAGCGUACGAAGGUAAUACCGGUAACUGGGGCU
rnacentral:rRNA from 1 species